ACGAACGCUGGCGGCGUGCCUAAUACAUGCAAGUCGAACGGUCUUUCUAUGGAAGCUUGCUUCCACUGAGAAGAUAGUGGCGAACGGGUGAGUAACACGUGGGUAACCUGCCCAUAAGAGGGGGAUAACAUCCGGAAACGGGUGCUAAUACCGCAUAGUUUUCUUGAUCGCAUGAUUGAGAAAGGAAAGAUGGCCUUUGUGCUGUCGCUUAUGGAUGGACCCGCGGCGUAUUAGUUAGUUGGUGAGGUAACGGCUCACCAAGACGAUGAUACGUAGCCGACCUGAGAGGGUGAUCGGCCACAUUGGGACUGAGACACGGCCCAAACUCCGUACGGGAGGCAGCAGGUAGGGAUCUUCCGCAAUGGACGAAGUCUGACGGAGCAACGCCGCGUGAGUGAAGGUAAAGGGUUUCGGAUACGUAAACUCUGUUGUCAGAGAAGAACAAGUUGGAGAGUAACUGCUCCAGCCUUGACGGUAUCUGACCAAGAAAGCCACGGCUAACUACGUGCCAGCCGCCGC
rnacentral:rRNA from 1 species